UACAGAGGGUGCAAGCGUUGUUCGGAAUUAUUGGGCGUAAAGCGCGUGUAGGCGGCUUUGCAAGUCGGGUGUGAAAUCCCUCGGCUUAACCGAGGAACUGCGUCCGAUACUGAAAGGCUUGAAUCCGGGAGAGGGAUGUGGAAUUCCAGGUGUAGCGGUGAAAUGCGUAGAUAUCUGGAGGAACACCGGUGGCGAAGGCGGCAUCCUGGACCGGUAUUGACGCUGAGGCGCGAAAGCUAGGGGAGCAAACGGG
rnacentral:rRNA from 1 species